CCCAAAUUUUUUUAAAGGACUAAAAGUGCCCUUUUUUGUGAUAAAAAGUGCCCUUUUUGUGUUGAAAAGUGCCCUUUUUUGUGAGGAAAAGUGCCCCUUUUGUAGAAGCUAAUGUCGCUGUAAAUACUAAAUUAAAACGAUAGGUGCCGUUUUUGUGUGGAAAUUUCCAAAUUUUUUUUAAAAAUUAGGUCACAAACAUAAAUUUCGGUAUGAUACGACGGAAAAUUUUCCUCAGGAGAAAUUUCUCUUCCCCCCCCCCGUCGACAACAUUUCCGGGAAAAAUUUUUUAGGUGCCCUUUCCGAUAGUAAUGUGCCCCUACAAGCCGGUGCCCCCCCAAACUCCAGGUGC
rnacentral:lncRNA from 1 species